ensembl:rRNA 5S_rRNA 5S ribosomal RNA
GCUUACGGCCAUACCAACCUGGCUAUUUCCGAUCUCGUCUGAUCUCGGAAGCUAAGCAGGUUUGGGCCUGGUUAGUACUUGGAUGCGAGACCGCCUGGGAAUACCAGGUGCUGUAAGCU